UCUCUUUUAGAGAUGAGUGGCGAACGGGUGAGUAAUACAUAGGUAACCUGCCCCUGUGCGGGGGAUAACAGGAGGAAACUCCUGCUAAUACCGCAUAGCCAUGAGCACCGCAUGGAGCUCAUGCCAAAUAUCCUUUCGGGGAUAGCGUAGGGAUGGACCUAUGGCGCAUUAGCUUGUUGGCGGGGCAACGGCCCACCAAGGCAACGAUGCGUAGCCGGCCUGAGAGGGCGGACGGCCACAUUGGGACUGAGACACGGCCCAGACUCCUACGGGAGGCAGCAGUAGGGAAUUUUCGGCAAUGGGGGAAACCCUGACCGAGCAACGCCGCGUGAGCGAAGAAGGCCUUCGGGUCGUAAAGCUCUGUUGUAAAGGAAGAACGGCGCAUACAGGAAAUGGUAUGCGAGUGACGGUACUUUACCAGAAAGCCACGGCUAACUACGUGCCAGCAGCCGCGGUAAUACGUAGGUGGCGAGCGUUAUCCGGAAUCAUUGGGCGUAAAGAGGGAGCAGGCGGCCGCAAGGGUCUGUGGUGAAAGACCGAAGCUAAACUUCGGUAAGCCAUGGAAACCGGGCGGCUAGAGUGCGGAAGAGGAUCGUGGAAUUCCAUGUGUAGCGGUGAAAUGCGUAGAUAUAUGGAGGAACACCAGUGGCGAAGGCGACGGUCUGGGCCGCAACUGACGCUCAUUCCCGAAAGCGUGGGGAGCAAAUAGGAUUAGAUACCCUAGUAGUCCACGCCGUAAACGAUGGUCACUAAGUGUCGGGGGUCAAACCCCGGUGCUGCAGUCAACGCAAUAAGUGACCCGCCUGAGUAGUACGUUCGCAAGAAUGAAACUCAAAGGAAUUGACG
rnacentral:rRNA from 1 species